rnacentral:rRNA from 1 species
GACGAACGCUGGCGGCGUGCUUAACACAUGCAAGUCGAACGGAAAGGCGCGGCGUUUGUGGGGUGCUCGAGUGGCGAACGGGGGAGUAACACGUGAGUAACCUGCCCUUGACUGUGGGAUAACUUCAGGAAACUGGGGCUAAUACCGGAGAGGAUCUCCUGCUGCAUGGUGGGGGUUGGAAAGUGUCGGCGGUUGGGGAUGGACUCGCGGGUUAUGAGCUUGUUGGUGGGGUAGUCGCUGACCAAGGCUUUGACGGGUAGCCGGCCUGAGAGGGUGACCGGGGACAUUGGGACUGCGAUACGGAGCAGAAUGCUACGGGAGGCAGCAGUGGGGAAUAUUGCACAAUGGGCGGAAGCCUGAUGCAGAAACGCCGCGUGCGGGAUACCGGCUUUCGAGUUGUAAACAGCUUUCGACUGUGCCGAAGCGUGCGUGACGGUAAUGGGUAAAGAAGCACCGGCUAACUACGUG